rnacentral:rRNA from 1 species
GAUGAACGCUAGCGGCGUGCCUAAUACAUGCAAGUCGAGCGAACAGAUGAGGAGCUUGCUCCUCUGACGUUAGCGGCGGACGGGUGAGUAACACGUGGAUAACCUACCUAUAAGACUGGGAUAACUUCGGGAAACCGGAGCUAAUACCGGAUAAUAUAUUGAACCGCAUGGUUCAAUAGUGAAAGACGGUUUUGCUGUCACUUAUAGAUGGAUCCGCGCCGCAUUAGCUAGUUGGUAAGGUAACGGCUACCAAGGCGACGAUGCGUAGCCGACCUGAGAGGGUGAUCGGCCACACUGGAACUGAGACACGGUCCAGACUCCUACGGGAGGCAGCAGUAGGGAAUCUUCCGCAAUGGGCGAAAGCCUGACGGAGCAACGCCGCGUGAGUGAUGAAGGUCUUCGGAUCGUAAAACUCUGUUAUUAGGGAAGAACAAAUGUGUAAGUAACUAUGCACGUCUUGACGGUACCUAAUCAGAAAGCCACGGCUAACUACGUG